UACGGGGGGAGCAAGCGUUGUUCGGAUUUACUGGGCGUAAAGGGCGCGUAGGCGGUCAGCACAAGUCAGUUGUGAAAUCUCCGGGCUUAACUCGGAACGGUCAACUGAUACUGUGCGACUAGAGUGCAGAAGGGGCAACUGGAAUUCUCGGUGUAGCGGUGAAAUGCGCAGAUAUCAGGAGGAACACCGGUGGCGAAGGCGGUGGUCUGGGCCGGCACUGACGCUGAGGAGCGAAAGCGUGGGGAGCAAACAGG
rnacentral:rRNA from 1 species